CCUCGCUCCCGGGACUCGCCAGCGAGGGAUGCCGCCGGCCGCCGGGGGCCUUCUCCAGGACCAGGAGAGAAAUCCUCUCUCCGCUUCACGACGCGGCCACUCCCACCCCUGAGACGCCCACCUGGCGGACUCUGAGGGAGGAUUCGGCUGCGUCUAAUACCACCUCCACCCCUCAUCCCUCACAAUGCGCGGAAAACCACAGGCGGCUGUGCGCGCAGCGUCGGCUCAGCCACCGCAGCUCCUCCCCUGGGUAAGUUAGAGGGGAGCAGCCACCACUAAAAAUAGCCCUUCUGGGAACUCCUCCGAAGGCCAGGGUCAGGAUGAAGAUAACCCCUCCACAGGAGAAGCGAAGGCCUCCUAAGAGAAGGGUGGGGAGGGGACGGUGGGAUAGAAUGAGGAAGAUGGAGAAGGAGAAAAGCAAAACCCAAUAUCCUUGGAUCAUGAAGCCCUUGAGCCCCUUGACAACCAAGUCUCCUUUCAGGCCGGAAUCCCCAACUGCACCGCCCCUGCAAUACGGGCUAAGGGGCAGAUUCCAGGGAGACUCAGUUGGAAUGCCCCGCCUACAGCUCCCGCAUAAAGGAGUUGACGGUGCACAGCAAAACCACCUGUUGUUUAACGAGUAUGGAGGGAGGGGUUCUCUCUCAUUGAUUGAUCUGAACCGUGCUUUUCUUCUCCCCAUUUUCCCACCCAAUUUCAGGAUGAAAAAGCACUCUGACGUCUUGAAAGCUGGCAGCUCUCUGUUUGGAAAAUCUCUGCCCAGUGAAAAAAUGUACCGACAAGAUUACUAAGUAACACAGUCUUCUGGGAAUGCCUUAUCAAUGCCAGCUAUUUGAAGAGCACCCAAAGUCAAACUAGUGCUCCGCGCUGGCAGUCUGGAAAAGGCAGAUAUGAGAAAACUGAGCUGUAGAAAGGUUGCCUGACUUGUCUAAGAUAACACAGCUGGGAAGUUGAGGAGGCAGGUCUGACUGGUAUAAAAAACUCCAGCCCAGUGACUUCCAUACUACAAAAUGGACAAAAGAGAUCAGGUACGCAGAAGGGCAGAAAGUAGCUGAAUUGCUAGUUGUUUUGAAUACACUUGGAAGGGAAGGGAGAUACAAUCUGAAAAACUC
rnacentral:lncRNA from 1 species